rnacentral:rRNA from 1 species
AGAGCGAACGCUGGCGGCAGGCCUAACACAUGCAAGUCGAGCGGCCGUAGCAAUACGGCAGCGGCAGACGGGAUAGUAACACGUGGGAACGCGCCCUUCGGUUCGGAAUAACUCAGGGAAACUUGAGCUAAUACCGGAUACGCCCUUACGGGGAAAGAUUUAUUGCCGAAGGAACGGCCCGCGUCCGAUUAGCUAGUUGGUGAGGUAAUGGCUCACCAAGGCGACGAUCGGUAGCUGGUCUGAGAGGAUGACCAGCAUCACUGGGACUGAGACACGGCCCAGACUCCUACGGGAGGCAGCAGUGGGGAAUAUUGGACAAUGGGCGCAAGCCUGAUCCAGCCAUGCCGCGUGGAUGAUGAAGGCCCUAGGGUUGUAAAGUCCUUUUAACGGGGAAGAUAAUGACGGUACCCGUAGAAUAAGCCCCGGCUAACUUCGUGCCAGCAGCCGC